ACAGGAAAGCAGGCUUCAUGAGUCCACUGGCUUAUGGAUCCUACCAGAACUCUGCAAAACCUAUUUGCUGAAAAGUACGCCAAGAGAAAUCACUCAUGAGCCUCGCCAGCCUGCACGCCUCCCAAGCUGCUCUCCCUCCUGCUGCCUCUGCUCAUGCCAGGUGACAGCCCAGCUCAGGAAGAAGCUUCAUUCUUCCAACCCUUUCUCAGAAGAACUCCUGCCCACACCAGAGAAAACCUGGUUUCAGACCCUGGUAUCCUCAGGGUGGUUGUUCUCCUGUGAGGAACAGCUGGAUGUGACAACGCAGAUGCUGGAAGCUUCCUGAGUGGUGGUAAGUGGCCAUGAUGUUGUAGGGAAGUUAAGGCAGAAACUGAAUUUGUUGAAAAUCUGCCAGAAAUUACCUACAUGAAGAUUAUAACUACUUGAAAAAAAGAGAUGUGGAUGGAAAUGGCAGGUGUGUAGAAAUCUGGUGUUUCUCUUUGUGAUUUGCAAAGCAGCACCUGGAGACCAGCUGACAACAUGAAAAAGAUCCUUAGAUCUGGCUUGCCAGAAAAGGAGGCAGAAAUCAGCAACCUGAAUUAUGUGGGCUGCUCCGAAAGUAAUGCUUCCUAUUUAUUUCUAUGGAGACUACAACAGGUACAAAGACAACAAUAACGUUACUCAAUAGAGCAAAUUCUCAGCUGCAAAACACUCUUUUCCAACACUGUCAUCAACACUAGCUAUGGAUUUUCAUCAGCCAUGAACAAGAACCUGCACGCUGCAGUCAUAAAAAUCUGCACCGGUGGAGGUAAGCCACUGUCAGUGUCACCACUGCUGAAACACACCACCCACCACCUCGCUGUGCUCACAUCCACUGUUUGGUCUCCAUAAGUAUUUAGGAAGUGUUGAUGAAUGUCAGUGGGUGCCGUUUUUUUUCCACAUGGAGGAAUGUAACUACACACCUUUGCUUCCGACACACUUCCAUGUCACAUGCCAUCCUGUCAGACUGCUUCUCUGCUGCCAUCUUGUCACGUGGCAACAACACGUAAUGGAACACUGUUGGGAAGGUUCAGCCUCAACUGCCAUACCACCAAUAUCCACCUCUGAUGCUGUGGGUCAACAAUAAAACAGGAGGCACUACCUUCGGAACAGCUCUUGUAUGUGAGGUCCAGCAGGUGCUGGCACCAGUAAAAAUAAUGGAAAUUUCAAAUAAAUAAGGUGAGCUGAGAAGGCCUCCUUAGAACACAUGUAAAAAAUUUCAUUAUCAUUAAACUUGGAAGCCAAGCACAGCUUUUCAUUUUCAACUCCCUGCAAGAUUGAUUUGACCUGUAUUUAGUGAGGGACUUCAGCCUUUUGUAGCCACCUGGAGCAGGGGACAGGCAAAGGCCAAGGCAUUUCCCUGUCCAGGUGGCCCUCAUAAAUAUCUCAGUGGAAUUUAUUUUCUUUCAUUUACUUUGGCAUUGCUUGGGCACUCCUUGAUUAAGGAGUGGUGUGUAGGAACUGACAUGCCCAGAGAUAGACAGCCACAUCUGCUAACCAUUUGGAUUAAUUAUUACACCUGUACCAUAAAACACAUGUUAAUAAAAGGCUGGUGAACAGGUUCAAGUUGCAGUUUUAAAAAGGGCCCAAAGAAAGCAAAAUGCAAGCCAUACACAAGAAGAGGCCAAACCUUUUGCUGAUAAGAUGCUGUAGGCUCCAACCACAUACAAGGAAGAGACAAUGUUAGAUACACUAAAUAUAUAUAUAUAUAUAUCACACAAGCAAACAAAAUAGGAACGUGUGUAUCCUGGCAAACUAUGCCUUUGUAGACCAUUGGCUAGAAGGUGAACAACAGUACACAUUCUUUCUUUCCUUCUUUCUUUUCUGUUAGAUGUAAAAGGAAAAAAAUCAUUAAUCACUCUGCAGGAUACAGCACUUAAAUGGGUAAAGUUGCUGAAGGGGUCUGGUUAGAAUCAGCCGAUUUUUCAUUUCCUUUCAGUGGGGACAGUGUGGUGCUCUGGAAUCUCUGGAGACCAGGAGCAUGAAUGCAGGUAUUGAAUUUUCAGGAGGAGACAAUUAAGGCCAAAUAUGUGAGAUACAAUCAUAUUUAAAUUAAUUCAGGUACUUCAACUGAAGACUUAAACCCUCUGCCUUCUUUAAGAUGCAUAUCUGGGAGAGCUUUACUGAGCUGGUAUUAAUCAUUCUAGGUUUGUAUCAGUUACAGUGGAAAGCAGUGGAGCUCUGUAUUUAUUAUUUAUUCUAUUGAACUGUCUAUGGAAAAACAUUUUGCUGAAUAAACUCUUCAAAUAGCCUUUGCUAUUCGAGAAGGCCUCCUUAGAACACAUGCAAAAAAUUAAUUAUCAUGAGGAAGCCAAGCACAGCUUUUCAUUUUCAACUCCCUGCAAGGAGCAAGGUGCCAAUUCUGUUUAGUGUUAGAUAACUUCUGACCACAUCAUGACUUGUAGAUGGACUGAAAAGGAAUAGGUAUCACAGGACAACGGUGAAGGCAAGUGUAGAUCUCACUUUGGACUGCAUCUGUAGUUGACCCUUAUCUGUUAUUUUUGGAGGCUCCUUUGGCAUAUUAGUACUCAACACAGCAAAUAUCACUAAGGAGGAGGUGCAUCAUGCUGCUCUGAUGACCGGUACUGUUAGACAACCAUGCGUUGUUAAUGAAAUCUUUCUAAAUGAAGAAAGCCAGAAAAUGCUUCUCAAGCCUUCACAACUAAGACUUGACUACAAACCCAUCACUUCAGUGCAUUUGGUCUUGACCUUUAAAUGUAGCAGUCACAUGAUCCAGGAGAAAGCUGAGGUCUCUAUUCUGCCACCAAACCCUGCCAAAGCCGUGGGUUCAGCUGAAGAGCUACUGCAUGCUUGGUGGAUUGACCGUGGUUACAAAUACCACUUGCAGGUAAGGCUUUCCAUUCACUGAUCUCUAUUUAGCCCAUGUCUUCCUGAGAGGAUGGACUCAGAAACAGUAUGGCUGCUGGGUUACCUGUAAUCAUUUAAUUUUAGACAUCAUUAUUUUAUGUUUUGAAGAUAGCAUAGAUUUCUGCAUCAGAUACACCACCUUAUCACUACCAGGCUAAAUAUGAACCCAAAAGAUUGGCAGAUCAGCCAGGCAGAAGAAGCUUUCUUCCAAGGAAUGCUAUUCAGCUUCACAAGGAAGAUGGGGCUUUCUCAUCAUCACAGCUCCUGCUCCAGACUCUGCUAAAUGAGCUGCAGUCAAGGACAGUUUAUAAGACAUAGUAAGUCUUGCUAUGGGAUGGACGAGCUAAAGCAGUUUGCCCAGCCACAGCAUGAAGAAUACACUUUCAAGGCUAUAUUUCAUGAAACGGGACCAAAAAAAGAUGAAGUUAAAUGUCUGUCUCACUUGCCUAAAGAAAUAUCUUAUGGAAACGUGACAGCCUCCUAGGAAUGGGGUUACAGCAGUAUGGAAUAUACAGUGAUACAAUUUUAAGAGAUAGCCCACAGUAAAUCUGAGAAAGUUAUUCAUUCUUAUACAUCUGCUUUACUGUUUGAAAGUUACUUUCUCCUUCAAUCCCAGUCUAAGACUUUGUACUCUCUACCUGCACAUGUUCAGUUUGUUCUGUGCACAACAGAGAAACGCAAAGAAUUUCCAAAAAUAAGGUUGUAGUUAAUGCCAGGUCAUAUGUACUAAAGCCCUAACAGAGGAUAGCACUGCUUUCCUAUUAUUACCAUUUUUUAAUGGUCUAAUUUUUCCCAGUGGAUACCAGUACAUGCAGAGGUUGUAGCAGAUGAAAAAAAAAAAAAGAAGAAGAAGAAGAAAGAAGAAUGUUUCUAUAUACUUCUGUUGUAAUCUGGAAAAUAAUGGCUUGCAGCAAACUGACGCUACAUUAAACGUACCUUUCUAGUAGAUGAAAAAUUUCUGAUUCUGAUUUUGGUUAUUUCAGUUGAUGGUUUUUUGCUUUAUUUUGUUUUGCUUUUUUGUUUUCAAUUCCUCUUGCAUUUAGUGCAGGUUAAAGCUUCCUGAAGAUGACUAACUCACAGUAACAUGUGUAUGCACAUGACAGAAUAACUCCCUUGCUGGCUCAAAGACAUACAUAUGCUUAAACACUUUGGAGAAUUGGAGCUAAAAUUAGCAUUUCAUUUUCUUUAUUUUCAAGCUAUAUUUUUCAGCCUUCUUUGUAUUACCACUGUAUUAUUCAAGAACAUUUUUGUGGUUACUCUGAUCAUUAUAGUACUGUCUAUGUUAUAGAUGCCAGCUUUAGCAUAGUUGUAGUAUCUGAAUUGAAGUGCACUGAAACUACUGGUGCAUCAACCACAUCCAUUCCUCUGAACUGCAGUCAUCUCUGGAAUGUAUUAAUUGCAAGCUAUUGUUUAGAUUUACUAUCCAGCUCCACCUUCUGGUAAACUUGUAUUAAAUCUAACUUGUUAAGUUUCUUUUGACUUACAGUUACUGAAAGCAAAUUCUUUGCUUUUUAUCUAUGGCACUGCUCAACAUCUAAGAAUGAUUUUACUGACCAGUAUUAACCACGCCAACCAUUGAAUUUGGACUCCACUGUUCCUUUCAGGGACACAUGGAAUAAAAGCACUUGUAGAGUGAGCAGUAAAGGUGAUCAUCUGCGUACACAAGUCAGCAUAGUUCUGAUUAUUGACAUUUCUUAAUUAAUAUUUCCUGGGCUCCAAAAUUAUGGAAUAGCUUUCUCAGACUCAUACUGCCACAGUUCUUUUAAUCUAAACUGUUCUUCAUUGUGCAAAUAAAUCUAAUGAGGUACUUCCAGUGUCUCUUGGAGAUUGCACUGCUCCCCAGGACAAGCUGUACAUCCUCUAUUCAUUCUUGCACAGGUUCUUAACAAAGGCAACUCCAAACUGCCUCGGUGCGAGGACAUAAUUUGCCCUCGGAGUGCUAUUAUAGACGUUUGCGUACGCUGAGCUUUUUAUACCCACGUCACGAGAAGGAAAACCGAAGGGGAAAACUCAGCGUGGAGGGUGAGAAAGAACAACAUGAAGAAAGAAGAAAAACACCCGAGUGGGCUCAGGGGGACGAGCUGCUGUGAGACAGCAAUGCAUGGCCGUGUGCACAGGGUACCGUGCAGCCCCUGGAGAAAACCAGAGAAAACAGCAUACGUUUUUGGUGCAUUCUAUCUGCUUUUCAGAGUCUAAAUGGGAAUCAGUCUUAAAAUGAAUAUUUUCAAACAAAAUGUCCUCUCUAGGUUUGUCUUUAAACCUUCGUCCUUAAUGCACUGAAAACACAACAACGGAUCCCUGCGCUUAAAAAAAUCUCUGUUGAAAAGGCGUGCUAAAACAACUUCCUUAGGAGCUGAACUUUGAAAAUGGCUUUUAAAAACAAUUGAUUUCUUGUGAAAUUGUUCACAGCCCUGAAAAAGUGGCAGGGAAAAAUCUCCUCCAACUCAGCGGACUGUUUAAGAACUCAUGGAGUGGCACAUCAGCAGUUUCAGUUUCAAUUGUUUCCUUCCGACGCCGGCUUUUCUAAAUUGCCACACUCUUAAAAAGUCUUCCAAAGAAAAAUUAAAUGCUAAGAAUUGAAAUGAAAGCGCCGACGUCCUCAGAAGCGUUUGCUCACAGUGAUUAAAGGAAGCAGCAGCACAAAUAAAAUUGUAUUUGAGAAAAAAUACAAACGGUCUGAAAUCAAACUCUGAAAAGUGUUCUAAAUCCAUAAGAAGGAGAAACAAUUUUGCAUUUGGGGCUUUUGUGUGAAAUACUUCUGGUGUUUUUCUUACAGCUUUAGUCUACACAUUCAUUUGUGCAGUAGAAAAAAAAAAAAUCCAACAGGAAAAGGUACGUUGCGCUCUACUCUGUUUUUCUCCAGAGUGAAAGUGGAAAUUGUCCUUUCUGAUACCUACGGCAGAUACGUUUUUUCGUUAUACAAACAGAAAAUAUAUCUAACCCACACACCCAUGCACCCUCUGCACUCUUUACACUGGGAAGCAUUUUAAAACAAUGAUUGUCCAUAACAACCUUAGGAGUAUGUAAGAAUUAAUUCCCCUUCAGUUUUGUUUUCACAUACACUGAGUGGCAAAGCCGUGCAACUGGCAGGUCGUAUAACGAAAGAAAGAAAGAAAGAAUAUAUAUCUGCUAGCACAUUCUCAUUUGUAUUUUUCUAUUUAUGCAGUCUCUUGCAGAGUUUUGUGUUUGGCAAUCGGAUCUAGUUUUAACUUCCACCCUUCCGAAAUGAUAUUUGUCUACGGUCUGUUCCAUAGCUGGUUACCAGGAAGAAUUGCUUUUCAGGCAAUUUUGAGAUCCUGUCCUCCUGCUGCAGUUUAGUUCUAUCCUAGCAGGAGGUUCUGUCUGACAACCCAGGACCGGGCUUUUCCAGCAGGAGAAAUGGCAGAAUAUGGUCCCUCCUCCCCUUCAUCAUUAGUUAUGGGGAAAAAUAAAAUGGUUUUUAAGGAAUACUGCAAGACAUAUUUGUCCCUUUUAUCUUCCUAAUCCUGGGCUACCUCCUCACAUUAAAAUCAAGAAUGCGUUGAUUACCAUCUCACGAUUAUAAAAAGCCUGAUAAACAAAAGAAUAUUCAUACCUUUGCCCCUUACAUUUUUGCCUCCUUCACUGCAUUUCACAUUUACCACUACUGAGAACUAUUUCUUUUUUUUUUCCUGAUGCUGUUUUCUCUGUCUACAGAUUUCACUCUUUUCCAUUUUCCCAUUUUUCCUCUUUACUAGGAUGAAAAAUGUACAAGAACUCUCACCCAGAUAUCUUUUUUUGGAGGGGUGAGUUGGGAGGAAAAGUCUCUAAAUGUUUCCAUGUUCUGCUUGAAGUACAGCAUUAACCACUUGACUUUUCUGGUUGUAUAGAUGUGCAAUUUGUGUCAUAAACACUACUACAUCCUACACCUAUUAAUUAAUUAUUAGUAAUUAUCUUUAUCUCAGAAGCUACCAAAACCAUUCCCCACAGUGUACAAUGAUGAGGUUUGUUUCCUGUAGCAUACUAGCCUGGGUCUACGGAAGAAGCAUGAGCUAGCAUCUCUAGACUAUCUCCUGUGCUGUGAUUUAUGGAGAUCUGUGAUAGGAAGGCUGCAGACAUCAGGAUUCCUUUAGGAGAACUCCUUUGCUCCAGAAAUGCUGGGGAAAGUCACACAGCAGAUCAGAUGCUGGUUCAUCUGCAGCCAGGAGCAGAAUAUUUUGGGCAAGUGUAUAUCCCACCAGGUCAGCUGCUAAUAUUUCGCUCUUGCUUUUCAGCGAGGCAGGCAGGCAUGAGAUACUCUGACUAAGGCCCAACUUGCACAUUCCCACAACAGCUUAAUUUGGCUGCAUUGCAACAUCUGUGUUGUGCUGAGUCCAGUAUCUCUCCGUGCUUUUGGGGCCAAACUCAUCCAUCAUCACAGGCAGCAGUUCGGAGCAUGGCAACGGCUGCUGCUGGUCUCAACAUUUUGAUAAAAAGCAGAGAAAGGAAAAAGAAAAAAAAAAAAGAUGAAUUCAUGUUUUAAAAGGUGCCCAACAGCUGAGGCUACCACUCGAAGCAGAAGCGGGACAGAGUUACACUUCCCACACGAGAGGUGCACAGCCUUGAAAUUUAAUAAAAAGAACAAGUGACACUCCAUAAUUUUCACUGCAAGCACCGACUGAAAGGUGACAUUACACAAUAAGAGUAAAUCUCCCACUCCGCUUAUACCAGGCCAGCACCCAGAGACAUUUCUGCCAUAACUCCAAAACCAAAAUAGCAAUGGGUGAAAUACAACCUGCGUGCUGUUGUCAAAAACAAGCGCAAGUAUUGUAGUUAAUGCUUGGCAGCCGGCCUGGAAGCCAGAGUUCUGCAAAGGGGCCCUGUGGGGGUUUCCCAUAUACGCUGCAUAAAUCCCCGCUUCCCUCCUCCGCACCAGCUCAGGCUCACGGGGUGAUCAGGAGUGCUCUGAGAGGCAUCUCCCAGGCUGGCAAAUGCAUGUGGCAGCCCGGGAUAAAAUAAAAUCCAUACAUGCGUGGUGUGUGUACCCACACAGGGGACUGAGAGCCCGUUUGGUACAAUGUGAUGAUCUUGAUCUGAUAAUCUUUGAACGAUCCUUGAGGCUCUUCCUCUCUUGACUUUCACUCAGCUCUGAUAAUCAUGGCCUGAUUCUUUGAGCUCUCACUGUCCUGGCACGUGUGGUGGAUCUUCCCUGUCAUUCGGAUCCUGACCCAACUGUUCCAAGCCAAUCCACAGCACUCUAGGGAACAAUAUAGUCGCAUUUUAAAGGGACGGAGUGAUGCAAGAUUUAUCUUAUCUACUGCCUACAUGUCCCAGAGAUCAAGAAUUAAAAAUUUUAGGAAGAUUUAAAACUGUAUGUUACAUUAGCUAUGAAUUGUUUAGCUGUCAGAUCUUGUUCUAUACAGUUGUCUGCUGGACCGAAGAUCCCUGUAAUAUCACAUAUCUUCUCCUUGCAAAAGUAAUUAUAGAACAUGAUUGAAUCGUUUCUUAAGCUCUUUUACAAGUGAAAUAAAUAGAUCCCUUCUAAUCUCUCAUGGUAAGCAUGUUUUCCAGGCCACAGGCCAUCCUGGCAGGAGUCAGGAGUCAACGGAGUCAGCAGAGCUUCACCGGUCUUUGCUCCUUGGGAUCUGACUCUCCAAUGCUAACAUGACUAUUUCCACAUGAGAAUGUGGCCAGGCCAACCCAAGGCGAAAAUACUACUUGGAGCAAAUGAAAACCGACGGGAGAAAUUGCAAUGAAAAAUUUUCAUUCAAGAUUUCUCUUGGGAUCCGUUCCUUUCUAGGGUGGCAACGCACACACACAGCUCCCUUCUCCUUGCAGCUUUGUUUAGCAUCUGUGGGAGCCUCUCAUCGGGAGCUUCAUAUGCGCGCUCAUGAGCACUCGGUGUUUGUGCUCUGUGUGUGCAAGCACCAACCACACGCUGGCGGGCAGCAGGCAUACACAUGUGGUCUAUGUUAAGAAAUGCAAGAAAUAAAGCCAAUUUUAGAUCAA